AGUAAUCAUUGGUUAUAAAAAACUAAAUUGUGCAACCUCUAUCAUCAUGCCUUAUUCCAACAGGUGAUUAAAUGGUAUAUGAAUUUAGAUAUCCGCUCACAGAGCAUCCACUUACCAUCAAGCAUACAAUAUAUGAGUAUUAGACAGUAAUAGCUACAACAGAUAGAUGUUUAUUAGUUUUAUAAGCAUAAUAAUUUUUACUUACAAAUGUAACG
rnacentral:lncRNA from 1 species